AGAGUGAACGCUGGCGGUAGGCCUAACACAUGCAAGUCGAACGGCAGCACAGGAGAGCUUGCUCUCUGGGUGGCGAGUGGCGGACGGGUGAGGAAUACAUCGGAAUCUACCUUUUCGUGGGGGAUAACGUAGGGAAACUUACGCUAAUACCGCAUAAGACCUUCGGGUGAAAGCCGGGGACCUUCGGGCCUGGCGCGGAUAGAUGAGCCGAUGUCGGAUUAGCUUGGUUGGACGGGGUAAAACGCCCACCAAGGCGACGAUCCGUAGCUGGUCUGAGAGGAUGAUCAGCCACACUGGAACUGAGACCACGGUCCAGACCUCCGUACGGGA
rnacentral:rRNA from 1 species